GGGACAGUUGGGUUUUACAGAGCAGAUCUGUUUACCGAGAUUCACUUCCUCACUCCUCAAGGGAGAGACAAACCCUCAGACUCACCCCACAAGGUGGGCCUGGACCGGGGGCCACAUUUGCCGAGGCUGUGGACGCCAUGCUGAGUGGACGCAGCUGCUCUGGGGACAGACAGAUCCCAGAGAGACGCCCGGAGGAGCCCAGCCUCUCACUCAGUUCCUCAUUCCCAGUCCAGCCAUCAGGUGAGGACAUACUGAGAAUGCAGCCAUCUGCAGGCCAGGAAGAUAGCUUUCACCAGGAACCGAAUCAGUUGGCUCCUUGAUCUGGGACCUCCAGCCUCCAGAACUGUGAGAAAAUAAAUGUUCCCCAGUCGUGGUAGUUUGUUGUGGCAGCCCCAGUAGAUGAAGACACAGGAUUACUGCAAUUCAUUAAUAAAGCAAAUGGAAUGUCUUCAAAUAUCAGGUAGCUCAACCUACCUGCAUAGGAGACAAAGUGACAGGAUGACUCUCCAACUAACAUACCUGUGACUUUAGGUGAAGCUUCACAUUUGUGACUCUUAGUGGACUCAGCUAUGAAAUGAGAGGUUGAAUUUACAUGCCUUGAGCCCCUCUGAUUACUGGGGAAUUGGUCAGACUGCCCUUCUUUUUACUGUUGGUUGAGUUUGUGAUGAGCUCCGUUUCUUCUCAGCCUAAAGGGGUGACAAAGAGAUAGGAUGAUUUCAGUUCUUUGUUUCUGGAGGGCUCUCAUCUACCUGCAUGUUUUAUGUGAUUUCUUAUCUUUAAGAACAAUAUUUCCUGGGAAUUCCCUGGCAGUCCAGUGGUUAAGACUCUGUGCUUCCACUGCAGGGGAUGUGGGUUCGAUCCCUGGUCUGAGAACUAAGAUCUUGCAUGCCACACGGUGCAGCCAAAAAAAAAGGAACAAAUUUUCCUAAGGUUGAGGCUGAUGGAAAUAGGUUCUUGGGGCUUUGGAGCAAUCAUGAGUGGUUAAUGUGUGAAGUGCCUUAGGGCAAGUUUAGCUGCCAGACAACUAGUUCUAAGUUCUUGCAGAGCUAAAACACUAGGGCUAAUUCAGGGACACCUGCUGUCUCUGCUGUGAUUUAGAGCUGUCUGUGGUGAGGUGUGCCAGCAGCAGGUGUGGAGGCCUCACCUGUCAUCAUAGGUAGAUGGGCAAGACCAAUUAGGCUGUGUUGGUCAGACACUCAGGCAUUCUUAUAACCAAUCAUUCGUGUAUGUGGUUGUUCCAGCUCUUCUUUAAACGGCUGUCCAGGGAAGGGUGAGAUGGACACUGGAAGGGUCUGGCUGUCUGGGUGGGUGGAGGAAGGUGGGGUGUUUCAUGGAAUUUCACAGUCCCCUUGGCAGGCAUAACCUGAGCCGUUAGACUGAUCUCAUCCAUCUUGAUAUUAUUUCUCUCAACAAGCAAUAACCUCAGCUUUCCAUGGCUUGCGGUUUCUGUAAGCUGGAAAUGAAUUCCUUGACUCUGAGUGAAGGUGUCCAAUUGGAAACAGUAAAAAAAAAUUUAGUCCAUAAAGGCAUUUUGUCAUCAGGGAGUGCCCCAAAUUUGGAAGAGUCCAAUGGAUAAAGGUCACUUUGGAAAUCCACAUGGAGCCAGAGGAGUGAUUCGUUAGACACUCAGGCAUUCUUAUAACCAACAUUUAUUAAGCAUUUGCUGUGUACUUAGGCCCUUUGCUAGAAAUGUCAGAUAUCAGAGAUGUACAAAUAUGGGUCUUGUUUUCAAGGAACUCACAUAUUAGCAAGAAAGAUGAAAGCAUGAAUUGUUAGAUUUUUUAAAUUAAUUUUUAUUGGAGUAUAGUUGCUUUAUAAUGUGCUAGUUUCUGCUGUACAGCAAUGUGAAUCAGCUAUACACGUGCAUAUAUCCCCUCUUUUUCUGAAUUUCCUUCCCAUUUAUGUCACCACAGAGCACUAAGUAGAGUUCCCUAUGCUAUACAGUAGGUUCUCAUUAGUUAUCUAUUUUAUACCUAGUGGUGUAUAUAUGUCAAUCCCAAUCUCCCAAUUCAACCCACUCCCCUUUUCCCCCCUUGGUAUCCAUAUGUUUGUUCUCUACGUCUAUGUCUCUGUUUCUGCUUUGUAAAUAAGAUCAUCUAUACCAUUUUUCUAGAUUCCACAUAUAUACAUUAAUAGAUGAUAUUUGUUUUUCUCUUUCUGACUUACUUCACUCUGUAUGACAGUCUCUAGGCCCAUCCACAUCUCUGCAAAUGACCCAAUUUUAUUCCUUUUUGUGGCUGAAUAAUAUUCAUUGUAUAUAUGUACCACAUCUUCUUUAUCCAUUCCUCUGUUGAUGGACAUUUAGGUUGCUUCCAUGACCUGGCUAUUGUCAAUAGUGCUGCAAUGAAUAUUGGGAUGCAUGUAUCUUUUCAAAUUAAGGUUUUCUCUGGGUAUAUGCCCAGUAGUGGGAUUGCUGGGUCAUAUGGUAGUUCUAUUCUUAGUUUUUUUAAGGAACCUCCAUACUGCUUUCCAUAGUGGCUACACCAAUUUACAUUCCCACCAACAGUGCAAGAGCGUUCCCUUUUCUCCACACCCUCUCUAGAACUUAUUGUUUGUAGAUUUUUUAUGAACUGUUAGAUUUAAUCACAUGAAAUUGAAGACAUUCAACCAUUUGGUCUGUUAAAAUACCAACAAUUUCACACGGUUCAAGCAGAUGCUAUUGUGUCUUACGUAUAAAAGACUACGGGAACAGAGAGGAAUGAGUGAUUAACUUACAUAUUGGAUCGUUGUCAAAAGGCCUUACUGAGGAGAUAACAUUUAACUUUGGCUUAAAAGGGGGAAUACAAUUUUGAAAAUAUUGCAAAAGAUAAGGUGAAAGGAAGUAAGUUGCGUUUAUGCCGUAAAUACUUAUUGAGCAUCUACUACAUGCAGGAUGGUUUAUCACACGUUUGUGAUACAGUGUUCAGCCUGUAAAGUUGAAAGUCUCUGUCUUCUUGGAAUUUAUGGUCCAAAAAGGGAUCCUGAGAAUAAGCACCCAAUUAGUUACUUAAUUACAGUUCUGAUUGGUGCCAGGAAGAAGCAAGUCUGCUAGGAGAGCAAGUAACGGGAGCCUGACCUGGCCUGUGGAGUCUUUAAGGUAAGAUGGAAUUAGCCAGAAGGAGAUAUGGGUGGAAGACAGGAUUUCAGACAGAGGAAUCUCAUGUGCAAAGGUCCUGCAGCAGCCAGGGGAGCAGUGUUUCACCUCUCAGAUUUUAAUGAUCCUAAGAGUAGGCGUCUCUCCAAUAGGAUCCCAUUCCCAGGGGCUCUGACUUGGUAAUUACCCAGGAGAAGACCUGCGUUCUAAGGUGUAGCCAAAUCACUAACUAGGGGAAGAUUUUUAAGCCAGGAGCUAUCUGUUUGGAAGGAAAAUUAAUUCAUAAAAUAAAAAUUGAAUGAAAAUGAAAGCAAAGCAAGUAAUUAAGGAUAUUGAUUUUUUUUUCCCAAUUGUUUGAGUUUUCAACCUCCUUUUCAGAUCCCUGCUGAUUCUCCUUAGGCCUGAAGCCCAGAAAGCCUUAGAAGAAAUAGGCUUACAACUUGUUGGGAGGUUUAACCUGAAAGCAUGUCAGAGUCACCCACCUGGGUGGGGCACAGGCUGAUUUCAGUGUCCCCCUCCCCCAUCUGGACACGUGUGGACCACUUCUGGAAGGCUCAGCGCUCUGCCACAGGCUUUACCAAUGGCCUCCACAUGGAGGGAGGGCCCUUGGGGUCUGACCAGCUGAGGAUACAGCUGAGACGGGCCUGGGCUGCUGGCAGAGAUUUAGCUCCUUGUGGACAACAUCCAGCACAGAGCCUAGAGGCAGAGCCUCCUCAGACCAAUUUGCCAAAUCAGCUGAUCCCUGACUUCAUUGUGAACUUGAAUAAGUUUCCUUGCAUUCCUGUAACAAUCACCUCACUUCUGAAUCCCGAUUCUUACAGAGCAUCGUAAGACCUUCAUGUGACCUUGUCACCUAGGUGAAAAGAGUAUGUAGUUGGAGGACAAACCAUCCCAGGUGAAGCUGCCCUGAUGCCCAUGGGCUGCGGGCUCCUGUCCCACAUGGGUUCCCUGUGCUGAACUUCUGAAGAUGGGACCAGCCUCGGGUUAUAAUCUGCUCCUUGAACAAUUCCCAGCCACAACCGGACCAAAGAUGCCGAAAGACCUAGAAGAUGGGGUGGACGGACAACAUUCCACAUUCUCAGACUUCCUCCUCCCUCCUCCCUCCUCCCCAGGACCCCUGCUCUGAAAAAUUAUCCAUAGCAUGACACACAGUGAGUCAGCUGUUUAGAGUACAAACCUACUUCAGAGCUUGAAAGGCAAAUAAAACCAAGUAAAAUAAAAUAAAACGUUGGAUUGAGUGUUUAGGGUGGGAGGAUUAGGACUUGAGAUUUCUAUCUCCAAUUUCUUACCACAUUUCUUACAACAUCCAGAGUCCAGGCGCCAGGAGCUAAUCACCGAAAUGAGAGACACUCAAUUGUUUUUUUUUUUUUUUGUGAAUAGCGUUUAACAGGGCAGCAACUUUGCAAAGCAUCACUUUUUUCUUUAUGGAGUGAUAAAAUGACCCCCUUGGUUUGAGUGGAUUGACAAGUACAAACUAGCUGGUAGAAUUGUAAAAGCAGGACACAUUUUAAACUAGUAUGACUGUUCUACACACAGGCCUAGCGACAUCAUGAGAAGAAGUAGAGGAAUCUAAAUGUUAGAUUUUCUAAAGCGGAAGGCAGCAGCUCGCUCACGGCGUUUGAUUUGGAACUGAAGUGCCCAUAUAAUUUGGCCUUGAUGGGAGGUGGAGUUGAAGGUUGAUUUCACUACCUGCAGGAAGUGCCCAUCAAAAACCCCCAAAGAAAGGAGGAGAGUGAGGCUGGACCACAUCUGGAGGACAAGAGGUCCCCUCCAUCCAAGUCACCCCAGGUGGGAGAGCGAGGCCCGUCUAGAUCCCCCAACACUUCUGAGCCAACCCCAAACAGAAGAACUGCCUGGCCCAUCCCAGCCCAUUGCAGAAUCAUGAGAGACAACAGCUAACUUGGUGCUUUGGGAAGAACACUGCAUGAACCACAUGGAUCUGCGUGGAAAUCAUCUACUAAAGUAUCCACAGUUGAAGAGAAGAUUCCUGGCGAUGUGACAUUAAACCUCAAGGAAUGAAUCUCACCAAUAACUCGGAGGCAGGAUUCAGAAGGUGUCCAGAGGAGGCAGGAUCUGGCCUGGUUUGGGCAUGUGGGUAGCAUCUCAGCAACGAGCAGCCAAGGGCGACCUCAGCACGGGGCACGGAGCACCCGGGUUCUUUGCUUCGGGCCUGGGAAUUUAUCUACCAUUUGCUCAUUUGUUUAUUUAUUGACUGUACUGGAUGCUCAUAUGUGCUGGGCACCGGGGCUGUGGCUCUGAGGACAACAGACACUGCCUUCAGAUGUUGUAUUUCAGAGGAGAAGACGUGAAUGCCAAGUAGGUGGUGGUAACUGUUAUCUGUGAAUAAAGCAGAGUAAGGGGCGUGGGACAUGCCAGGGCGCAUAGGUGGGGAGGGUAUAGCUGCUUUAUCUGUCUGAGGUGGCCAGAGAAAGAAUUGAGGGAGCAGGCCCUCGUGGAUCUGGGAGAAGGGCAUCUCUGACAGAGGGGCUGCAGGAUUGGGAAGAGUGCCAUGGUGGAAAGAACAGAAACUAGGAGUGAAGUAUUGGAGCUUCAUUGGUUCUGCUACUGAUUUGCGCUGCUUCUUGGACCCAAUGACAAAGCAAUGUGAGGAUAGGCUAGGAGCUGGACUGCUUGGAUUUGAAUCCCAGCUCUGCCCCUUAUAACUAGAUGAGCUGGCAAGUUACUUAACAUUUCCAAGCUUCCAUUUCACCAUCUGUAAAUAUGGGGGAAACCCUCGUCCCCUAUGUUCUCUUUGGGAGGAUUAAAUGAGUUGAUUCACAUGGUGCGCUGAAACCAGGGCCUGAUCUGCUAUAAGCCCAAGCUGACGGUAGCUAUUUCUAUGAGUAAGUUGUUCCCCUGUAUGGGGUGCAGUACCGUCAUCCCAGAAUGUGAGCUCUGGAGAGACGGUCUCUUUAGGUGCUCAACUUCAGUGAUUGUUGGAAAUCUGAGGUUAACUUACACAUUUUAUGGGCCAUUUGCAUGUCAUUUGUUAAUUUGUUAGCUGUUUUUGUUGUUGUUGUUUACGGUCUGCCCCCAUCACAGUCCUCUUGCAGGAUUUAGCUUCUUUCCAGUGUCUUUGCUAGAAUUCCACUUCUCUCCACCUCCCUGGUGGGCUUUAUUCCUUCUGGGAUCUUUACACCCAACUUCAGUACAUUCACAUGAUUAAAAACAUUCUCCCCAUUAAUUUCAAUACACUGGCAAGGGAUCUCUGUAGCAGAAACGUUAAAAAAUGAAAUUUCAGGCUGUUUUCUGUUUGGAGACCAAGUGUGGGAACGAUACCAUCUUAGCUAAGGGUUCACCAAAUCACAGACACCCAUGGACGGCCCUUCCUGCAACAGUGUCCCAGAUGCCAACAAAGCUCUGUACAGCCCACCCGACUACUGCCCUGGCCACGGUGCCCCAUACAGUGGGACACUGGAAAAUCCCUCCAGUCUCUCCAGAACUUGGUGCACUGCGAUCAUCAAUGCUGGGGACCAGCUGGUGCUCAUAUUAAGACAGACAGGGGUUUUAGAAUGAAAACUGAAAACAGGGAUCUGGAGUCUCUGAGUACCGGUGACCCAGACUUCACUUCCCCAGCUUGGUGGGCAGUUCCCUAAGGACCCUGGUGAGGCGGGAUCAGAAAGCCCGGACGGUAGUACCAGCGCCACCUUUUCCGUACUCUGCGACCUGAAUCUCACGUGUCUUAUCUAUAAAAUGUGGACCUGCACCUUUGUUUUGAUGACUAAAUGACAACAUGUGGCUUUAUAAAUUCUUUACUUAUUAUCCUGCAUAAAUAAUGUACAUGCAUAUUUAUGUU